CCUACGGGAGGCAGCAGUGGGGAAUAUUGGGCAAUGGAGGCAACUCUUACCCAGCAAUGCCGCGUGAAUGAAGAAGGUCUUCGGAUUGUAAAGUUCUUUAAUUGGGGACGAAAAAAAUGACGGUACCCAAGGAAUAAGCCCCGGCUAACUACGUGCCAGCAGCCGCGGUAAUACGUAGGGGGCAAGCGUUGUUCGGAAUGACUGGGCGUAAAGGGUGCGUAGGCUGUGAGGUAAGUCAGCGGUGAAAUGCCCCCGCUCAACGGGGUGAAGUGCCAUUGAUACUGCCUUGCUGGAAUGCGGAUGCCGUGGGAGGAAUGUGUGGUGUAGCGGUGAAAUGCAUAGAUAUCACACAGAACACCGAUUGCGAAGGCAUCUCACGAAUCCGCGAUUGACGCUGAUGCACGAAAGCGUGGGUAUCAAACAGGAUUAGAUACCCCAGUAGUC
rnacentral:rRNA from 1 species